rnacentral:rRNA from 1 species
GUGCCAGCAGCCGCCGCGGUAAUACGGAGGGUGCAAGCGUUAUCCGGAUUCAUUGGGUUUAAAGGGUGCGCAGGCGGAUACUUAAGUCAGUGGUGAAAUCCCGGGGCUCAACCCCGGAACUGCCAUUGAUACUGAAUAUCUGGAAUACGGUUGAAGUGGGCGGAAUGUAGCAUGUAGCGGUGAAAUGCAUAGAGAUGCUACAGAACACCGAUCGCGAAGGCAGCUCACUAAGCCGAUAUUGACGCUCAGGCACGAAAGCGUGGGGAGCGAACAGGAUUAGAUACCCUGGUAGUCCACGCCGUAAACGAUGAUAACUCGUUGUUGGCGACACACAGUCAGCGACUAAGCGAAAGCGAUAAGUUAUCCACCUGGGGAGUACGAUCGCAAGGUUGAAACUCAAAGGAAUUGAACGG